GUCGUUGCAAAUAUUCCAUCUACCUGAUCCAUUAUUAUUCCAAAUACUCCGACGUCUUUUUCGUCUUUUCCGUCUUUUCUCCGGUAUCGGUAUCGCGUUUUCUUCCUUUCGUUUCGUGCUUCCUUACGAUCACUUGCGAUCACGGAUGCGAUAUUCUCAUCGGUGUUUACAUCGAGUUGAUUUUCAAAAUCAGUUAAUUUAUCGAAAAAUUCUCCGCUUGAUUUAUACGACCUUGUUGACACCACGGCGAAUCUCCUUCUCCGUUUAGUCGCCUGUAAUUAAUUAAAAUAGGUAUUCGUUCUUUCACACAUGAUCGGAAAUGGUUGACGAACGUGUUCGUCGCUGGGAACUCCGUUGGUGGUACGACGAACCGAGAUGGCGAAUCAGCGAAUGCGCAACUCAACGAAAAAGAAGUCAAAACCUCGGUAGAUACGCGGUACGACUGGUUUUCUAAUGCCACGGGUCGCCUACACGAGUUGCCAGCAUCGCACGAUACACGGUUGCUCUGAUUUUCGGCUUAUGUCACUUUGUCGAACGGACACAAGUGCGCGUUAACCGCGAUAGAAUCUCCGAAUCGGACGGGCAAGCUUCUUCGUACUUUUCCCUGUCCCGCGCCCAGCCCAUUGCGAUUCGUUUUCUUUCAAAAACUUUCACUCUCGGUCUCGGGCGCGUGUUUAACGCUCCUUCCACCAGAUUUUACGUUCGCCGGUUGCGCGCAAUUAGCAUUCUUAUUUUAUUGGCGCGAUUAGGUAAAGUCUCGGCCGGCUCGUUACUUCGUCGAAUUUCGCCGCCAACGUAACACGCGCCUACAAAUUUAUUCGAGUUCGAUAAGGAACAGCCUUCGUCCUUAGCGGACGACCGUUUCUCGCGUUUGCACUCGCUCGUCCCAAGCUGUUGGAUGUUGAAACAGGCGUUGAAAAAAUUACUCGCGCGCGAUGACUUUUGUUUGAUUAACAAGAUCGUAUUGUCUUCGGAGCGUCGAGUACGCGUUUAAGAUCGUUCAAAUUCCUCGUCGUCCUUUCCGUUUUCGACAAACAUCGUUCCGAGAGGUUUCGUUGAAAUUCGAUUUUGAAAGUCCAUUCGACUUUUCCUUCUUUUUCCCCCUUCUCUUUCUCCUCCAGCGAACAAAUCAUCCGGCUCUUCCAUUUUUCGUACGCCUAUAAUUUAUUAUCAAUGAUGCAUAUAUUAAUAUAAUACUUGGCUGUCUUGUCUCUAUUUGCGUGUCUUUUACAUAAUCGACGUUCCUACGUGUAAAAUAUUUCUAUUUAAUUCGUUUUUUUUUCUUCGGAACGCUAAUCGCUGGCGUUUAGUUAGCCGUUAGUUAGCUUAUUGGCGUAAAAUUGCUUCUUAAUUGGACAGAUCGGAGAAUACCAGCAUAUUGGGUACACGUCGUCUUUGCACGAUAUAUUUUCCUUUCGAACGUGGCACGAUCGGCCAAAGUAACUCGACGAUUCGUCCGAUUCUUCGCCGAAUUGUUCGCCUUUUCACUUUCAUUUGCUAUUUUUGUUAUUAUUUCGACCGAACAAAUUCUUGCGAUUUCUACGAACGGCGAUCGAUCCGCUAGAUAGAGGCGCUUUCGCUUUCGAUUCCGCGUAAAACGAGUACAAACUUGUUAAGAGCGAAACUUGUCGAAAGAACGGGCGUUCCUCUAAAUUUGCCCAGAGCGAAAAAAAAAAAAAAUAUAACGAAGGAGAGGAUAACCGAAGAACAAUGCAAUAAGACAAAAAUAACGUAAGCAUAUAAAAGAAGGUAGAAUAAACAUCGCUGGAAAAAUAAGAUGACAGGCUAUAAAUAAGCGUAAAUAACGAUCGAAUCGAAAAGCAGAAAUCCUGUCAAACCGCAAAAUCCUCGAAAAUUAACGAUCGUGAUGAAUGGCUGGAACCGUCGUUAACGAAAUUGGAAAAAAGAUCAACCUUGUCCGGAACAUCGUUGACGUAGUUGCGACGGAGAAGCUUCUGUCGGUUCGGAAGAAACGUGAAUCGACGCGAAUCGACGCGAAUCGACGCGACGACGUAAAUGUCACGUUUCCGCUCCACCGAGACUCGUUUCCAACGAUUUUUUACAGAUCUACUAACGUAAACAGAAAAGUAACGAUCAUCGCUUCUGUGUCGAACGCGAAGUUGCGACAUGGUCGCGCGUAACAACGCGAUCUUAAUUAUCCGUUUUUGUAUCUCGAAGGCGAUCCGUCGAUGACACGCAUCUUUGGCGAGUUUUGUUUUCCCUCGAACGGUCGCUCCUCUCUGCCGUCUUUGCGAACACACGGAAGUUUAUAUAAUGGUCCUGACCGUUUGGAGUAUAGGUACCUGAUCCUCUAGCCGAAUCUAUCUAGCGUGGUUACUCCUUCUCGAGGAGAGGAACGAAUAAUGUCAAGGACACGGCGGCGCCCGUUUUCCCUAACAAGUACAAGAGGCGAGAACGAUAAGACGCGGUAAAGGCGGACAAACGUUUCGUUAGUUGGCGAUUUCGCGGCGAGGCUGAUCAGCGGGAUACGGAGCGUCUCGCUUCUUUGGCCCAUGUACGGGCGAAACGUUUUUCGUUGAACCUUGAAACGUCAAGACAGCCCGAAGCGAUCGUGAACCGGCGCGUCGACCUCUUUUCCCUUAAAUCGUCCAGCAAAAACUACAAUGGCCGUGCAGCGCGCACCUCGCGUUCGAAGUAAGCACGAUGUAUCGUUCGAUGUGCCGCGGAUACGUUUAACAUAAAUUAAUUUAUGUGCGUCACAAGAGGAAAAAGUUUAGCGAAUGUACGCGUUUGUAACUCGUUCACAGCGACCGUAACUUUUAAUUUUAGCUUUCCUAUAGAACGCGGCGGCGUAUCAUCGAAGUAGCAGUAAUUCUUUCAUUAUCGCCGACGCAGCGUGUUUAUAGCCCGAAGCGCAACGUAACCCUUUUUUCCAAGCUAUUCUUCUGCAUCUCGUUCUUUCGUACAAAAGGUUAUCUGCCUUUUCGCGCUCCUCGCUUUUCUCUUUCUCGCAAUUUCAAGCAACGAUGGAUGCGUGUCGUUCGAUCCCGCCAAUGCUUAGAAUUUCUUGCACGCGUAUGUUCAAUCGGCAGUUACAAAUUGACUUUUCGACCUCUCCCCGUCUACCGCGCAAAUCUAUGAAUUACAUCAACCGGUACUGGCUACGUACGUACCCAUAGGGUACGUGCUAGUUUCAGUAAGCAACGCGUCUUUGUAAUACCGCAUUGUGCAAACUGUUCCAUUCUUUUCUCUCUUGGUUCUGGCUACAAGCAACCUAUCGAUAGAUUGUUUAUCCGCGACCCCAUAACCAUAGAUAACCAUAGAUCGUUCAAGGUGCUUUUUAUACGCGAUAUUCGCUUUCAACUCCUAUUUAUCCUAUUUACUCGCUUUCCUUCGUUUUGUAUAUAGAAAUGCUCGGACGAGAACGUUAACGUGGAAACAAACUUACGAUGCAACCUCGUAUCGUUAGCGAUCGGAGUUGCGCGCUAGCAUGCACGUACGUACCAAUUUUUUGUUAGGAGAAUGGCACGCGAUAAAUGUUUCCAAUGUUUUUGGAUUCCGACGCGCAACGAUUACACGUAGGUUUCGUGAAAGAACAUUCUGCUUGCAAAAUUUGCCUUCUCCUUUUGCCAAAGUAUAUUCGCGAUGAAAUUUCCGUGGACGUUUUUAACAGGCUGUUGCAUCUCGAUUUAAUCACCGUCGCUGUUUACUUUGGACCAAUUGCUUGAAAUUAUGUCGUAAAAGAAAGGAACACAGGGUCGCUUUAAUCGUACGCCGCGAGGUAUACCGUAUACGAGGUGUACCAAAAAGUCAAACAACGGUACCGAUAAAUUGGUGAAAACUAUCAGCAGCGAAUCUGCGUUUCUGUUGACCGUACGCACGAUGAUACGUACGUAAUUGAUCUUGGAAAACUUUCGGAUAGAAUUUCGAUGGACUAAGUUAAAAAAGUAGCGAUCGCGUGGAAACUCGACCGACGUUUAGACUUUGACAUCAACUUUUUAGCUGCCGCUAUGUUGCAUGUUGGAGAUAUACUCGAUGAUGGUGCUACAAAAACAGAGCGGUUUUUUCGCCGUGCAGUUUAAGAGAAAUGGAACCAAUCGAUAUCAAUUUGUAUUAACGACGUGAGGAACGUUGAAAGGUUGUUGUAGAAAAAUCACCCAUUUUGUAUUUCCGUUCGUGAUACAACUACGCUACGCAAACAAACGUAAAUUUUAAAUACUAUCGUCAUUAUUUUAACAUUUACUCGAACGGCGAAACUAUUUAUUUUGCGUUAUUGACCGUUAUCGGCGAUUCUCGAGACGUACGUACGAAGAGUACACGAAAAAGAAAAAACGUCGAGUUUCAGCGUUUCUCGGAAAACGAACAUUUAUUUUUCGUUAUCGAGUAACGUUACAAUUUCGUAUGUCCCCUCGUAUCCAGAUAAAACGUAAUUUUAUUCCAUUUUUAUACUCGGUAUAACGCGUGAAACGCCGAGAGCGUUUACACACCGCGUACAGAAGCGAUACGAGAGGACGUUACACACGAAAUUCGUCCACGUUCCCCUCUUACUCUCGCCAACGAUAGGUCGAUUCGUACGUCGAACGCGAUUUUUCCAACGAACGCGUCGCUUGCGCUUAUUUAUCGAAGAUGUAUCGAUUACGAGUCGCGUUCGAUACGAGUAACCUCUAUCGGUCGGAGCGUAGAAUGAAAGGAAAAAGUUUCGGCAAAGUUAUAGAGGAACGCGUGGGAUGUAAGAUUUUAUCUCUUUUAUCUCGCCGUAUUUAUCCAUCUGCGAGGUGUUAAUACGCAGCUUUCGGUACCGUACAUCGAGUUCUCGUCGUACACGCGCUACCGAUACAACCGUUUCUUUGCCGCAACGAUCGUCGUCGUCGUCGUUGACCGUAAAAACAGCCCGAUGAUGUCUACGGAUCUCUACGGAGAUCGGACGCAAAACGGAUUGUUGCGAGUUUGUUUCACUUUCGACAAAUGAUACUUUACGUUCUAUUUCGUUGUUCUUUGAGGCGAUUAAACGAUUAAACGUCUCGCGGUGCGGCGGCCGGACUAGUAUCGCGCCAUUGACCCGAUCCAGAUUGAAAGCUAAAACCGAUAGAUCGCCGGUUACGCGUACAGGAAAAAGUAGUUGAAUAUGUCGAGUGGGACACCCUAUAGAUAUGGAAACCGAUAUCGACGUUGCGUCAUGGCCGCUGCUCGACGGUCGACCACCAUACAGCGAGGACAGUCGUACAGACGACGGUCCGUGCAGACAGUUUUUUUUAUCGAUAUCUCGAAAACUGAUAAAUCUCGGGAACUAGAAUUUUAUCCCGAGUUCGGUGAAAUUUCGCGACGACGAACGAAGAAGAUAGAAAUCGAUGCCGCGUUAAACACGGCCGCGCGCAUCGUGACGUUUCUACAAAAGUAACGAGUACUCGGGACAGUGAUCGGAAUGGUGUAAAGGAGAAGUCGCGUGUUUUUUAAGGAAUGCGUGACGUCAUUAUUAAUACUCGUAGCACGAGUUGCACAAUAUUUGUAAUGGGUGGUAAAAACGGCAAUUUCGCGUUUCAAACAGAUGUACGAAAAAAAUGUCGCUCGCAAAGGACGAUUGCUUUCUAACCUAAUUUUUAUUUAUAUCGUAUCGUAGAACACCUUAGCGACCAACGUAUUUUUCAGUACUGUGGUUGGAAAAUCCUCUCGCGUUUUUCUUUAGUCUUCGGUCAUACAGGAUGCUCACGCUCCGAAGGAAGACGUAGCCUCUUUGGCAGCAAAGUAAUAACAUUUCGAACAUUCGUACGGCGAUACGCAGCGAUGUGGAGCAGAGGACAAAUUAAAUUCGUUAUGGAGUCGGUAAGCAGGAACAGCGCGAGCGGAACGAGAACUACGCUGAAAAAUAAACAACCUUUAUCGUUCGUAGCUUCACAUUUUUAACGAUAUAAGAGUAAAAUCCUAAUUUUAACCCCUUAACCUACAACUACGCGCAUAGCCCGUAGUAAUCGUAAAUAUUACGGGCAUCGCUCGUGGUACGUACUACGCGAAUCGUGCGAAUGGUUCGAAGGUUGCGCGACCUUUUUUUACGUUUUCGGCCGUAAAUUCUCGAACGUAAAUAGUAGGUUAAGGGAUCAACUUAAUGUAUAAAAAUGUACAUAUAUUCUUUUUUCGUGCGCACGAAUAAAAAAAGUUAACGACGAUUGGUAGAAAAAAGAUUGGUUAUAAAUCAUCGAUAUAUGCAGCUUGAAAUCAGUAAUUCAAAUUAUUACGAAACACGUUCUGGCAACAGCAUCGUUACAAGAUCCAACGAUGCGGUCGGCGUAUUUUUUUUUCCUUUCGUUUUUCAUAUCUAUCUGUGCGACUCGUCUCUGGAGACGCGUCGUCGACGUAUGGCAGCGAAAUAACGAGAUCGGAAGCGAAUUACGAAGAAUAUAUCGAAAAUCGAACGUCGCUGGAUCGGCGGGAAACGAAGGAAUUACGACGUAGCGUGGAAAGUAGAUAGAUCCGUAAGAAAACGCGAAAUGGUUGAAUCUAAAACGGGAAAGAAGAAGGGCCAGCGAGCCUUUCGCGAACAAAGGCAGUUGUCUCUUCGUGUCGCAUCCUAUUACGUUCGGUGGUACGGAUCCACGUUUGUUUUCAUUUAGACGUAACAGAAGCGAGUUACGUUGUGAAAGCGUUCGCAUAACACUCGGAGUAAAACGAGCGCCGGUAUGUACGAACGGAUGUUAAGUCAGAGUCGUGGAUCUGUCCACGGCGGAGAAAGUAAGCCGUUUCCUCUUCCUGGUUCGCGUAGAUCAAUUUUUCCUCGAUACGUUCAUUGAUAAUCGGCGACAACAACACCGACGGAAAAUUUCCCUCGAUUUAUUCCCUUCUUCUUUUCGUUUUACCGCGUUCUUGUUUCGUCCAAAUUUCCCAAAGGGAAAAACGUGGAAACCCAAGUACACGCGAUUCGCUCGCGAAGUUACCUUGAACCUCGAGCAACGGAACGUGCCACUUUCGUCGCGUCUUUCUGCGUGACGUCGUCCCCGACCGACAGACCCGGCGUUGUCCAGAUUUUUACUCAAACAUCAACGAGUCUGUAAUCUGUGAUCGAUAAAUGCGCGACGUCUUUGAUGUUUGGAAAAUUGUCGGAUCUUCGUGCCAUCGCCUUGGAUCUUUCAAAUCUCGCCGUUUACGAGUCUACCGGUCGAUCCAAUGUAACCGUAUCUAAUUGCGCGCGUUGUUCGUACGCGUACGUGGCCGUAGCCUCGGGCGAAUUUGUUCGCUUCGUUGGUCGCGAUAUCAUCGGUGGAAAAGUUAGUCUAUUGGGAAAAAGGUGCAUCCCGUAGAAGGGAACCUAUGACGAUGACGAAAGUCUUUCAUCAUAAAAUUAUGAUGAAAGAAAGGAGCCGGCAUAAAGGUUACAAAAUGCAGAUCCGUCGCGACAAAAUUCAGUUCGCGAGAGUAUAUAGACGAUGACGGAGAAAGUGGCUUGGAAUAAAACAACACCGAUACCUUCUGAUUUUCAAUGUAUUAUUAUCAGCACAUGAUAGUUUCGCAUCCAUCUCACAAAGUAAGAAUCAGACAAAACGUCAACAAUCAUAAAUAAGAAACGAAAAAGAAAAAAAAAAAAAUAUAUAGAAACGGACGUUACAGGCCGCCGGAGUUCUAAAAGUCAGCUUCUAACGUGAAAAGUGUGGUACUCGUUGGUGUAACAUAAUUCGUAAUACAGAGGCGACUGAACGCGAGUAAAAUCGUUACAAUAUUACAAAAUAUCACAACGUUAAUAUCUGCCGGGUGUUUCUCGCGCGACUCCUGCAUGGAAAAAGGAGAAAAACGACGUUUUAGAUAAGAAGGCCGAACGGUCCAAGGUAAUAAGGGAAUGAAAAAAGAAAGAAAGAAAUAAAGGAACGCAUCAACAAUUUUUUACCGCGUGUAGCGACCAUCGUCGUCGAUCGCGUCGUCCGAUAUACGCGCGAGAGAGACGCGCGCCUUUUACCUCGAACCCUGCGAAGAUUCUCGAGAAUUUCCACCGGGCAGAAAACGAACGCCCGUCGAUUUCGCGCCUUCGGAAGCAUAAAGGACGGCGUGGUGCCUGUCGCGUUACAAAAAGACCAGACCGGGCUAACAAAACGCGUUAGAAACGCGCGUUCCUACGAAAACUGGUUCCUGGAAUCCGAAGGACUUCUUUUCUUCGCAGGGGAGAACGUAACGGCGCGAAAUCGGCCGAUGAAAUCACGUACCCCCGCGACGUUCUCAGCCAGAUUUAGACCUCGACACACCUAGGUCUUCGACGCGUAUUUCGCGAUUGGGACACGAGACAGCGAACGAACCGCUCGAUGGUUGGACCAUGGACUUCGAGGUGAACGAUACCACGCUCGUUUCGCUUCGCGUGUCCAGGCUCGGCUGACUGGAAUAAAUUAAAAGAAGAUCCACGACACGAAAGAAGAGUAACGCGGCAAACAGGCAGAACCGUGGAGAGAUUUGCGUGGGUAGAACAGAGCGACGUGACCGGUCGCCGAACAGCGUGCGUCUUUUUAAAUUAAAAAUUUGUCUCCGCAUCGACGUACGUUGAAAAAAUAGCGUACGACGCGCGUGGAUCGGCGACUCGCGCCCGUUUCUCUCUGCCGCGAAGAACGAAAUUGGCUAGCUCGGAGCGAGACUCGGGAACAACGUGACGCGGUAAUCGUAGGAAAAUCGGACGAGCAUCGGAGAAGAAUACCGCGGCAAAGAGCGUAAUGGAAAACAAGUAGAAACGGAAUGAUCGUAGAGGAGGAAAAGUCGCGGGGGGGGGGGGCGGGGACGACGGAGUUACGGGCUCUCGAUUACCAGCUUCGUUCGACGUCGAUUAGUCGCACUUAUUUGCGUUGGUCAGGCAAUUUUUUAUGGCGUUCGAUGAACGAUUUGCGUUAUCGUAGGAAAUAGCAGGAAGUGCGACGCAAUUCUGACGCGUACAAUUAUCCAGUGCGUCGUUGAGUAAUACGUUAUCGCGUCGCUCUGUAACGUCCGUAAAAUAUCGCUGUUGCAGCGUUCGAUCGGAUCAAACUGUAUCGAGCAAUUCACUUUCCAAGCUUACAAUUUCGACUUGACGACUUACACGCGAGCCCGUAAUAUCCAUGACAAAGUAGAAAAAGUAGGGAAUCGUGGACAGUGAUCGUAGCGAUACGCGCGUUAGCGAAAAACAAGCGUAGGCGCGAAUACUGUUGGUUCGUUUUAUCGAGAACGUCGAAGAUAUCCAAACUAUGAAACGCGGGUCGAGCUAAAAUAAAAUCGCAGCACGAGAACGAUGGAAUAGUUAAAAUCGGCCAAGAGCGAUCUCGCUCUGGAAGCUUGUGUAAAAUAGAGACGAGAAACAAAGAGGCUAGACUUUCUUCUUAGAGCGAAAGCUUUUGAUUUUUUCGCGCACGAUUGCUACCUUCGCGCUUGUCUUAAUCGUUACUUUUUCUGCUUCGUUUCUUUACUUAGUUCGUUAGUCUACUGGCGAAACGGAGCGGCCGAUCGCAAGGCGCCGCAUGUAGCAAACAAGGAGCAACGUUUCCGUUCUUCUUCUUCUUCUUCUUCUCUUCCUCCUCCUUUUUCUUCUUUCUCUAGAUUUCUUUCCAACGGUUUCCUCGUUCCUCCUUGCAUACUGCAAUUGUUCGCUGUCUUUCUCUCUGUCUCUCUACGAGUCUCGUUCACACUCGACGUAUUCAGGCACGCUUAUGUACACAAAACGUUAUCGUCUUCUCGCUUCUUGCCAUUUUUCUUCGUAGACGGCGCCCGACGAACUUUCGCCGACGCCGUCCGCGCCCGGUACGCUAGCAGUUACAGGUAAUUCGAGUAAUUGAGGGAGAGGACGAACGUAUACAACACCAGCCAUUUACCUACGUAACAAUUACUACCGCUCUAUAUACAACGAAUCGCUAACGCGGUCACCGAUCGCACCAGACAACCAAAACAUCAAACUCCAGCUUUCUUCUUCGUCUUUCUUUCUUCCUUCCUUCCUUCUGUUCCACGCGUUUCUUUCCCCUGUUUUCGCUUCGUAUCUCUGGCUUAACGGGAUAGCGGAAAAGGUACGAGGACGAGAAUACGACAAUUAUAGAGUAAUAUCACGGAAAACUGUCCAGCCUCGAAAAUUAAAUAAUGUGGCACUUGAUGAAUCUCGCUUCACCGAUUCCAAGUGUCUCCGUACAAUGGAAUCUCCUCUCGCGACAGGGAGGAGGAAACGACGCUCUUUUCUCUCGCUCUCUCUCUCUCUCUCUCUCUCUCUCUCUCUCUCUUUCUCAUACACGCAACAUACAAGCACGCAUACGCAAACGGUCGCGCGAAUGAGAGCAAAAAAAGAAACAAGAAGAAAAAGAAAGGAGCCGGCGUAAAGGCUUCAAAGUACAGACCCGUCGCGACAAAAUUCAGUUCGCGAGAAUAUACUAGACGGAAAUACAUACUACAAAGUGGAGUUAAAUCCAUGAAUAAAAAUAAAUACAUCAUCGAAAUACCGACGGAGACGUCCGACGCGGAAUCCGUUCGGUUCGAGCGAACCAACUGAACGACAGAACGCUAUAUAUUUGUAUAUCUCUAUGUAUAUCUAUAUAUAUAUACACACGCGCGCGCGCGCACGCACACACACACAUAUAGAUAUACAUAUGUGCGUGUAUAUAUAUAUAUAUAUAUAUACGAAUAUAUGUACAUACUAAACGCUUGUACCUUAAACGAUAGAAAAACUCGACGAAAAGGAAAAGUAUAGCCGAAAUGAAUCGUUCGAAAAUAUGUUUUGUACGUUAGCGCGCGUGCAGCGGGUCUACGCUCGCGAGACUCGCGUUUUCUCUUACUUUAUUUUUGAAACGUUGCCCGACAUCGAGUCCUCUCGAGGAUCGAAACGAACGCGCGUGUUUCGGUCCAUUUUACAAUAUAUCGCACGGUCGUCUACGCGAACGACAAAGGAACCGUGAACACAGGUAGAAAAAAGAAGCGUUAACGCACGCGCAUUGUUCAACGCUACUCGACAUCGAACGGUUAACGUUACACAUUGAGCGCCGAUCGCGCUUCGUCAUAUUUUCCUCUUUGUUUGUCCGUCCGUCUGUCUGUCUCUCUCUCUCUUUCAUUCUUCUCGCACAUCGAUGCGCGCUUUCUAAUAUACGCUAUCUCUGAUCUCUGUCAAAACUAUUCUUUUUUCUCUUUUUUUUUCAUUUAAUUACGUAAACAACGCUUUCCGAUUU